CCUGAGAAACCCGAAAGAUCGAAUGGGGAGAUUCAUCGUCAGCGACCUUGGUACGUGCGCGGUUCGCGAUGCUGGGAGGAACUUCGGUGAAUCCCGGUACGCUGUCCGUGCAUUUUUAUUGCCAUGCUGUCGUCGGCGUGCACUUCUCCCCUAGUAGGACGUCGCGACCCGUUGGGUGUCGGUCUACGGCCCGGGUGGGUGCCUGUCUCGUGUGGCGCUUUACGGCGUCACCGCGGGGCAGACCCCCGGCCGCCCGACCGGCUGCCCGGCGGUACUCGCAAGGUAUCUGGCCGCAAAUAUUCGAACUGCGUCCGGCCCGUCGCAAGGGUGGCAAGUGUCUCCCGAAUGUACGGAUCUAACGCCGUCAUCGGGCCUGGCCCCCUGUUGGUUGACGGUGUCCUAGGACUGGCUGUAAAAAUUAUGAUACCGGUCAGCGACGCUACUGCUUUGGGUACUUUCAGGACCCGUCUUGAAACACGGACCAAGGAGUCUAACAUGUGCGCGAGUCAUUGGGAGCUAUAAAGCCUAAAGGCGCAAUGAAAGUGAAGGUCUUGCCUCGCGCAGACCGAAGGGAGGAUGGGCCGCGUCACGAUGCGGUCCCGCACUCCCGGGGCGUCUCGUUCUCAUUGCGAGAAGAGGCGCACCCAGAGCGUACACGUUGGGACCA
rnacentral:rRNA from 1 species